rnacentral:rRNA from 1 species
GUUGAACGCUGGCGGCAGGCCUAACACAUGCAAGUCGAGCGGAUGAGUGGAGCUUGCUCCAUGAUUCAGCGGCGGACGGGUGAGUAAUGCCUAGGAAUCUGCCUGGUAGUGGGGGACAACGUUUCGAAAGGAACGCUAAUACCGCAUACGUCCUACGGGAGAAAGUGGGGGAUCUUCGGACCUCACGCUAUCAGAUGAGCCUAGGUCGGAUUAGCUAGUUGGUGAGGUAAAGGCUCACCAAGGCGACGAUCCGUAACUGGUCUGAGAGGAUGAUCAGUCACACUGGAACUGAGACACGGUCCAGACUCCUACGGGAGGCAGCAGUGGGGAAUAUUGGACAAUGGGCGAAAGCCUGAUCCAGCCAUGCCGCGUGUGUGAAGAAGGUCUUCGGAUUGUAAAGCACUUUAAGUUGGGAGGAAGGGCAGUAAGUUAAUACCUUGCUGUUUUGACGUUACCAACAGAAUAAGCACCGGCUAACUUCGUGCCAGCAGCCGCUGUAACAC